CCCCCUGCUCUCUUCUCUCUACACAUGUCAGCCUGGUCAGUUGUGUGUGAGUGGCCACUAGUAGAUGACUGAUGGACAUUGUCCGCUGAAGUUCACAUAGUCUGUAUGAAUGUUCACUUGCUGACAUUGCAAUGAUGCAAAAAAGACACAAUUUUUAAAUACCCACAUAUCCUCCUUAAAUGUUAUGAUGUUGAUUUCAUAAGGAUUUACAGAAUCUUAUUGAUGGAAGAGUUAAUCCUUUUUUUAAUGAGAGCAUAUAUAUACGUAAUGUAUAAAAGCAGAUAUAAAGGUAGUAAACAACUUCUGGCUUUGAAAGAGGUUCAAAGCAAGGAAAAGCAUUAUGUAAAUGCACUAUUCUUUGAACUUUUCUUUUGUGUGAAUUUGCUGAGCUGUAUUGUUUAUUAAAGGGAAUCCUGUUAUAGCAAACAAUUUUCACUGAUCAACACAGGGGUGUACAGAUCAAUGUCAAGGUCAGAUCUCAAAGGGCGUUCAACUCCAACAGUUCAACUCCAACAGCUGAUCAGGCAGCAGGGAGGAGUUGUGUGGAGACCUUGAACAGAGACCGGUAAACAAGCCUUACUGAGCCCCGCUAUAUUUAUAGCCCCACUUCUGAGGACAAACCAGUCACUGCUUAUCUAUUACUGUAGCCGGACACUCGCUGGUCAUAUCUCUCUGUGUAUAGAGCCGGGAUUAGGGCGAAGGUCUCUCACAGUAAUUAACGGAUCUGGUUUGCGCUAGUCCUGGAGCGGAAGUAGACAAUGGUAUAUAUAACCUCACCGGUCGCCCAGGAAUCCGUCAUUCAGCCUGUCAUUCAGCGCUCGGCGAGUCUAGUUAGCUGGCUUUGGAUAGCUCUGUGUUCAGACAUGGAUUCUCUUCUUAGUGCCCCCUUGUGCAAAGAAAAAAGCAAGCAAGAGAAAAUCUUGAUUUUACGGGAGAUGCGCACGAUCCUACAACUCUUCAUGUGCUUUGAGUGUGUAUUUUUUUAAAUUUUGGAUAUUUUGUGUUAAGUAUAUUUUUUUUAAGAUGGGCUUAAGUUUGUCUCUGGGUUUGUUAUUGAAAACUAAAGGAUUUGGGGUUACACCCAAUAAGACAAAAAAACUAACCAAAAAAAAUUAAAAUUACUAGAUUUUGUGAUAACAGCAAACACAACAAAGCCUUUAGUUAGUUAGCAUAGAGUGAUUGCUGUUAUAAUAUGCUAACUAGCCCAACAUUUGCCUCAUAUGUGGCAUUUCUGUACCACACUGGGGGAAAGUCCCUCCAUAAACAUCUCCCGACUGUCAGCUCUGAUUGAAGCGUUGACAGUUUGAUGAUUUCUGCUACAAGGAAGUUGCAUUGUAUAGACCGGGUCUUAUAAAUACUUAGACUCAGAUGAAAGUGUUACUCAGUACAUUUUAAAAGUCUCAGUGAGAUUGUAAGUUAAUGAGUGUUAUUUUUCUGUCUUUGUAG
rnacentral:misc_RNA from 1 species